rnacentral:lncRNA from 1 species
UAAUUUCUAUUUUAAAUAGUUCAGGGGGGGUCAUAGGAACCCCGCAAAGUAUAGGUGUGUAGUUGGGAUUUGAAGUAAAGGUUGGAGGGGCUUUUAUAUAUCUUAAAUAUAUAUAUUAAACAGUAAAAAUAAUAAAUACAUAUGUUACCCUAUAGAAUGACAUAGAACAGUUUAGAGACAAAUUCAGCACCGUACAAAAUACAUAUGAAUAUGCAUUUGUAUAUACAAAAUACAAAUACAUGCACAUACCCCAAAAAAUUUAUAAUACAGUUGUAACAUAAUACAUCUGUCUAGUUGCUGUUGAACUACACAUUUUUGCUUGUUUAUGUAGACACCACAAAUAUUCUUAUGAUGAAAAAUCUUGUACUGCAUCUUUGGUAAUAUUGCCUUAAUAAGUUCUUCAAUAUCAUUGACUCUGUGACAUCAUAUAUGCGGUGCAAACCUUAGAAGUACUCUUGCCAUGAAUAUAUGAUCAUGUGACAUCUAUAGAACAAAACAAUGACAUAAAUUUGUAUUAAAUGUACUUUUCACAAAAAAAUAAUAUAAAAUACACAGUAUACAUAUGUUUUCUUUUACGUAAUACAUAUUACAUCACAAAAAAAAAUACAUAUAUCUCUUCAUAUGUAUUUACAGAAUACAUGCCUGAUCCAUAUGUAUAUUAUCAUACAAAAAAUAUAAAAUAUGACUCUGAUAUGUAUUUACGAAAUACAUAUCAGAUUCAUGUUAAACAUCAACAAACACAACUAUGCUAUAUAUCUUCAUAUGUAUUUACGAAAUACAAAGGUGACACAUAUAAAAUAGUAAAAUGUAAAUGCAUGUCUUAAAUGGUAACAAAUACAACUAUAUAUAUAUACGCAUGUAACUAAACCAAACAAUACAUAAUAAAUAUCACGAAUAUUAAAAAAUACUAAAAAAAUAUAUAUGUUAUCAUCUGGAAAAAAAAUACCAUCAUAACCAUAUGUAUAUAAAAAAUGCAUAUACUGCACAUAACCUAUAAGCUAAUAUCAUUUUCCUGAAAUUUGAAUGUUUCUUAUUUCAAUUAUAUCCCUUAUUAAACUUUACUUAAUGUGAUAAUGUUUACAAACACCUCGAACCUAAGUUAUAAGAGAAUUAAAUUUUUACCCAAAAACAUGACUGUAAAGAUGUUGAAGCAUUGAACUAAGACUCUUAUUGUUGUAUCUUAUUUUUAGUUUGUUCUGAUCAUUUCAUUAAGAGAUGAAUGUAGAGUUGUUUUCAUCCCUGAAUGAUGUUUUCGUUCAUUAUUAUUAUAUUUAUCCAAAAAAAAAUCAAUGUUAUGAUAGCAUACCUCUUGUAUUCUGAGAAUUUUCCUACAACAUUACUGUAAUUUUAUCACCUUAUCACCAAAAGAAAGCCACAAAGGUAAGUGAGGUCUCUCUUACCGGGAAAAAAAAAGAUAUAUGUGAUUUGGUUAAAGAUUAUUACUGCGAAAUGAUCUUAUCUUACCCAUAAAACAAGAAGAAUAUAAACUAAGCAAGAAUACUUGGAAAGUAUUUAAGAAAUUAAGGUGAAGUAGGAUUAGGUGAAUCUGUAAAUCAGAAAUUUUAAAAAGAUUAGGGUAGUCCAGUGGAGCUAGGAAAGAUCGUUUUAUGAUUUAUUUUGUAUUCCAUUAGCUAAUUGUGUCCUUCUAUUUCUAGAGUCUAGUUCUGAUCCACAUGUGUGCAUUGUUCCAUCAAUUGGUUAAAUUAGAGAGAGGUAAAAUAAUAGAGUAAAAAUAGGAAAGAAAGAGUGAAACACGCAAAUUUAAUGGUUAGAAAGUGCUACUUUCACUAUAAAAUGUAUUUUUGUAAAAGUGUUGUUAUUUCUUGUAAUUAUGGUCAUAAGUUUGUCAGUUUCUGUAAUUUUUUCUAUUUUUUAUACAAUAUUUGAUUUGAUGUAUUGAAAUUAAUAAUAUUACUAUUAUAUUUUAAAAAUAAUAUUAUUUGUUUAGAAAAAUAUCCUCGAUAUAUUAUAGCCCCGUUUGGAUAUAAAAAUCACAACUUUUUGGAGUUGGAGUUGAAGUUGGAGUUGGAGUUGGACUUGGAGUUGUAUUUUGCCAUGAAUAUAAAUUGAAGUUGUUUUUGAAAUUUUGUGAAAAAAGUAGAAGUGAAAAAAGUGAAAAUAAGUUUUUCUUGUUUUCACAUUUCCAAACAGCUUUAAAUUAUAUUUGAAAUUUUCAUGACCAAACACUAUUAUUUUCACUUUUUUCACUAAGUAGCCGUUUGGCCAUGAAAAUUAUUUCUUUUUUUCUGAAAAAUUAUUUCAUUUUAAUGAAAAAAGUGAAAACAGGAUGCGUUUGAUCAUGAAAAUUUCAAAUACAAUUCUGAAAUUGUAUUUAAAAAAAUGAAACAAGUUUUACUUGUUUUCACUUUUUUCACUCAUUCUUCUCUCACAAAAUUUCAAAAACAACUUUAACUUAUAUUCAUGGCCAAACACAACUUCAACUACAACUUCAACUUCAACUCUAGCUCCAGCUCCUGAAAAUUAUGAUUUUCAUGGCCAAACGGGGCCUAGAAUGUGUUUGGUAUGAAGGAAAGUAUUUUCUGAAAAGUGUUUUCCAAUUUUUUCAUAUUUGGUUGGCUUCAAUGUUUUGGAAAAUGAUUUUUAAAUCAACUUAUUUUCUUCAAAUCUAAAAAAAAUGAUUUUCCUUCAAAAAGUAAGAAAAACAUUUUUCAUAACUAUUUUUCAACCUCACUCUUAAAUUGAAAUAUUCAUAUAACUCUCAAAAUCACCACCCUUCUCUGACCCUCAAUCUCCUACCACCACCCCCAUUCAAAAAACCUAUUUUAAAUUUUUUUCUUACAUUAUCCCCUACCCCAAAACCCAAACCCUACCCACCUUUCCCUCUCCAAAAAGACUAUUUAAUUUUUUAAAAAAAAUUUCAAACUUUUCUCUUACUCCCCCUAUAUGACCCCCCACCCCUAUCAACCCCUCCCCCUCCUUCCAAUAGAAUUAAAAUUUUUAUUUUUUUUUUCAAAAUUUUUAGUUAUUUCCUUACUCCACCCUAUCUACCCUACCCCGAUCCCCAACAAACUCCAUUCAAAAAAAAUAUAUUUCAAUUUUUUUUCUUACAUCAUCCCUACCCUAAAACUUAAACUCCUACUCUCUCCAGAAAAAAAGAAUUUAUUUUAAAAAAAAAAACAAUCAAACUUUUUUCUUAACCCCCCCAACCAACCUCCCUCCUCCCCUCCCCUCCCCCUCCCCACUUUAAAAAAUUAAAUUUUUUAAAUUUAUUUUAAUUUUUUUAAAUUUUUUUACAACCCCACCCUCACUUCCCUACUCCGACCCCACACCCUACUAGCCGCCUCCCCCCUCCGUAAAAAAAUAUUAAUUUGAUUUUUUCCUUACACCACCCCUACUACCUAUUUUGACAACCCCCCUCCCCUAAAAAAAUUAUUAUUUUAAAAAAGUUCUUAUCCCACCUUUCUUAUCCUAUUCGUUCUCAUUAUUUUUGUUAAAUAUAUACAAAUACUUUUAGAAAAUAUAUACUUACUCAGUUUUCAUAACAAACACAAGAUUAUAAGUAAAAAAUAACUUAUUUCUAGAAAAUAUUUUUCCUCCUUCAUAUUGAACAAUCCCUAAAAAAAUAUAUUUUUCAGAGUCAAAAAUUAUUUUUCUAAAAUAUAUUUUUACUCUUUAGCUAAACAUUAAAAUGUAUUUUCUGAAAAAUAUUUUUUUCAUUCACCAAUCAAACACUAGAAAAUAUUUUUUGAAAAAAAAUUUCCACUCACCAACCAAACAUAAGAAAGCAAGUAAGAAAUUGUACUUCAUACCAAACACACCCUAAAGUAAAAUAAUUUUUUGGAAAAAAGUAAAAAAAUACUCAUGGCCAAACGGCUACUAUAACUUUGUGCAUUUUCUUUGCAAAACUUUAUUAUUUUUUAACAAAUAUAAAAAAAUUAAUAAUAUAACUAAUAGCUUACUUUGAAAUUUUAAGAUUCAAUCAUUCUCUUGGAGGAAUUGUUUUUUCUUUUUGUGUUAGCUUCUCUUUAUUUGUUCAUCAUUUGUUUUUUGUUUCACUUUGUGGUGUUCUUAAGUUAGAGGAGGUACAUGUAACUUUUGAAUGAGACAAUAGAAUCGUUGUUAACAUAAAUUGUAUUUCAUAAAGUGUUAAAGCUAAGCAAAAAAAAUAUUUUUAUUUGUGAUAUAUCCUAUUUACAAAAUUAAAGCUUGUAUGAAAUCAUUCAAUUUAUUUUCGAGUUUUGAUCAUCAAGUAUUUUUAAGUUAAUGGGAAAGUUUUUUUAUGACUAAAAUUAUUUAGAGGGAUAUUAGCAUCUUGAUAAAUUAAAAAGAAAUAACUCACAUUGAAUAAAUUGAAAAAGAUUUAAAGAAAUUUGAGGGUAUAUUUAUCUUUAGUCAUAUUUAUCCAUGGAUUUUACUAAUCCCACCAAUUUAGGUGUAUUAGUUAUACACCCAAUAAUACUAUGUAGGAUGUAUAACUAAUCUAUGUAUUAAUUAUACACUACUCCAAAUUUGUUACCAAAUUAUAUAAUAAUACCAUACUUUAAUACAUGAAUUAUCAAAAUAAUAUACCUUAUCAAACGGCUCCUUAAUGUAGUAAGGUUGGACCGGACAAAUGAGAAAUUUUAGAGAAAAGACAUCUUCUCCCCCUGAACUUGUCCUCCAAACUACGUUUAGUACUUAAACUUAACUUUCGUUUAUUUACCCCCUUAACAACUUUCAAGUGAAUUAAAUUCACCCCUUACGGCUGACGUGGCAAAAAAAAAGCGAGUGAUUUUUUUUAAAAAGGACCCACUUUAUAUAUAUAUAUAUAAAUUAAAAAAAAAAAUCAAGAACCCACUUCCAUCUUCAUCUUCUUCAUAACCACCUCCACCCCUAACACCUCAUUUCUUCAUCUUCUUCGUACCCCCCACCCCAUUUCUUCAUCUUCUUCAUACCCUGCAUCCCUAUCCCACCCCAUUUCUCCAUCUUCUUUGUUUAGGCCAAAUUCAUCCUUUUUUUUCAAGAACACCAUUACUAAGCUCCAUUAACUCCUCCCUUUAUUAAUUUUUUUUAUUUUUAUUUAAUUUUUUCAAAUGACUACAUUCAAUUUGUGAUGAUAAAUAACUUGAUUCGAAUUUAUCAAUUUCAAAAAUUUGGGAGUUUUGGGAUUUUGGGUUUUGGUUAAUGUGAAAGAAUUUGGAUUUGAGAUUUUGUGUAUUAAUUUAUUUUUGUGAUCAUGUACUUGUAUUCAGUUCAUUGAUGAAUUUGCUCAAGUUAAUUUUACAUUUGAUGAAGAAAACAAUUCAUUGAAAAGCUUGCAACAAUGGUGAAAGAAUGAGAAAAAAAGGAUGCUUUUAUGUGAAGAAGAAAAAGAAGAAGAAGAAGAAGAAGGAGGAGGAGGAGGAGGAGGAGGAGGAGGAGGUUUUUUGAAAAAAUUAUAAUUAUUACGUGGCAGUGAUAUGGUACUGAUGUGGCAGUGAUUUGGCAAUGGCGUGACGCGUGUGUAGUGCACUCUCCGUGUGAGAGUGGGAUUUUAAUUUUGAAGGUGAAUUUAAUUCACUUGAAAGUUGUUAAGGGGUGUAAAUAAACGAAAGUUAAGGUUAAAUGCUAAAGUGAGUUUGGAGGACAAGUUCAGGGGUAAGAGGGAGGCUUUGGAUUUUUCAGUUGUAGAUCUCCAAUAAAUUAUGUGGCGCUUUCAUAAUUUUUUUUCGUGUUUUUGGUCAAACAUUUGAUCGGUUUGGUACUUGGGAUUAGAAAAUACAUAGUGAGAUCAAGAAUUGAUUUUUAAGAUUACUUUUUUUAAAAAAUAAAUAAAUUGAGUGUUAAUAUUGAGAAGAAACUUUUAUUUUUGUACUAAAAGGUCACUUGGUAGGGUGUAUUAGGAGAAUUACUAUGUAUUAUGCAUGAUAUUAUUUAGUACGACUAUGUUUGGUAGGAUUUUGGAUCUAUGUAUGUAUAUCUAAUAUAUGUAUUAGUUAUAUACGUUGCUUGGUAUAAUAUGAUAUAUAAUUAAUAUCUUUCAUUUGAUGGUAUCAGGAGUCAAUUUUUCAUAUUGUUACUCAACUAGGAAAAUGUCCCAUUAAAGUCACUUAUCUUUUUUUGAUUUCAAUAUUAUCAUUCAAUUUUAUACAUUUUUCUUACAAACUAACAAUGACUAAAAUAGUCCUUAUUCUUUGAGAGAAAAAUGACCAAUAUAUUGCUCGUUAAAUCUUGAAUUUAGAUUGUCUUUAUUUUUCGAUAUGAAAUAUUAAUAAGCCUCCAACUAUAUUUCAUGUUUUUACUUCAUAAAUUAAAUUUUUUUAUAUAUUUUUAUACAUAAGUACACAAUGUUAUUUAAAAAGACGUAUCAUAAUAUUAAAAAAUAAAAAAUAAAAAUAAAAAUAAAAAUUUAGAGAUGUAUUUAGAUUUUAAAGUCAAGUUGAAAAGGUAAUAUAAUAUUUUUUCAAAAUAAUAUCACAAGAUUGAUAAAAAUAAUAUUUGAAAACUUUAACAUUUAUAAAUUACACAAUGAUUAUAUGAAAUUUCUUAAUUUUAUAUGAUGUUGAAUGAUUUAUGAUUUUAUCUUAUAUCCUUCAUCAAUAUUUUAAUUUAUUAUUGAAAUUUCUUAAAAUAGUUAUAUAUAAAUUUUUUCUACUAGCUAGAAAUCCUAGUUAUUUUUUGUUCUUUUUAUUUUUGUUUGGGGGCGGGGAGAAUGAGGGUUGAAAGAAGCCAUCAUCUUCUAUAUGUCACACCCCUUUUUUGUCUGAGGGGUCGAAGGGUUUUUUCAAUUAAAGUGACCAUUUUGAAUAGUGAUUAGUUUUACUAUUUCUAGAGUCGACAUUUGAAAUUGAGUUGUGGUAUUCCAACUCUCCUUAUUGAAUCCCUAAUCAAAAGAAAUGACUCUUUGUUGGUCUGCGAAAAUAGAAGACCGGAUAAAGAAUUCUAUUGACCGAGGAGAAGGUGUGAGGUCCCCCUCGAGUCCCGUGAUUCUAGCACGGUCGCUUUUAUCAACUUAUACUUGACUAAAACUAUUUUGGGUAAAUUAUGUCUGUAGGCCUUGAUUAGCUCAUUUUAAUAUCUAGUAUCUAUCUAUACCUCUUGUAUUAAGUUAGUGGAAAUUAAUUUUAGGACUAUCUUUGUCGAGGUGCAAUAUCGCAUCCUCGAAUUAUUUUUAAAUAUCUCAGAAAGAUGCGUACAUGACAUUCUUAAUUAAGACAAAUAUAUUAAGCGUGACUAGAGCGUAUCUAAUAUUAAAGGCAUUCGUACGUCUUUUAUAACUCGAGAUAAUUUUUCUUAUUCAUUUUUUCAUUCUUUUCUUAAAAAUUCACAAUGAGUUUUGGAUUAGUCCAUAACUCGUCUCUCUCCCUUACGAAUAGUUUUUUCCUCUCUUUUCUUUUAUCCAUAACAAUAGGUUUCGAAUAAAACCGUAACCUAUCUCGGUCAUUCUCACCUUAGUUAAUUUGAUUAAAAAGUAAAAGAAAUUUGGUCUAGGCUUGGAGAAUAUAAAUAGAUACUAUUUCUUUUUUUUUUUUUUAGAACGACAAGGAUUAAUUCAACAAUUGGCGAACAAAUUAAUAUAUAAGCUUAAUAAAAUUACUUCAAAACCAAAUUAACAUAAUGCUUAACAAAUUUACUUAAUAAAGCUAUAUUUGAAAAACUUAUCACAACGAAAUAUAUAAAAAAAGGGGAAAACAACAACAACAACAAUAAUAAUAAUAAUAAUAAUAAUAAUUAGCUAACAACAAUUUUAUUUUCUUCUUAAAACUGUUAUUCAUUCACUUUUUUAAUCUUUUUUUAAAGCUUUCUUUAUCAUUUUUGUCAUCUGUCCACUCGUUUUUUUGUUUGUUUUCUCUCUUUUUUUUAAAAAAAAAAAACUUGUACGUGCAUGUGAUUUUUUAGUGUGUGCACGUCUUUUCUCCUCCUCAAUUGCUUUGUCUUAAAAUAUCCAGACAAGAUCUAUAAAUUAUUCUCAUAUAUAUAUGACUUAUCACUACUUUAGAGGUAAAGGUAUGGACUGCGUACAUCUUAUCCUUUUCAGAUCUCAAUAUGUGGGAAUACACUGAGUUUGUUGUUGUUGUAUAUGACUUGUCAGCUUUUUCUUUUCCUGUCUUACUCUAUUGGAAAACCUCAAAACAAAUACUCCCUCCAUUUCAAAAAAAAUGAUCUACUUUGACUUAACACAAAGUUUAAAAAAAUAAAGAACACUUUUGAAUCUUAUGAUCUUAAAUUAAAGUUGUGUCAAAUGUACCAAAAUACCCUUUAAUUUUGUGGUCCUAAAUAUGUCAUGUGGAAAGCAGAACUUAAAGUAUUGUAAAAAAAAAAAAGGGAUCAUUCUUUUUUAAACGGACUAAAAAGAAAAAUAGAUAAUUCAUUUUUAAACGGAGAGAAUAGCAGAAAGUAAGAUAAAAACUAACUCAAAAGACCCAUCUAGCCUGACAUCGACUAAUUUCACGGAUUACCUAUUUCCUACCACCAUCAACACAGGAAAUUUCUAUGAGUUAACACGAUCAACUCGCUACUUUGAUGUUUGGCAUUUUCCAGUCAUCAAAAAAGAAUGGUCUAACAAGUUGUUCCUAUAAUAACUAAUUCUUGUGUCUAUACAUCUUAUUUCACUACAACUAAAAUAAUGGAGAUUGAUGGAAGCAUCAAAGCAGACAAAUGACAAUCCUAAUUACUGAUCUUUCUCCAAUAAGACCCGAACUUUAAAUUUCCUUCGUGUUUGAAAUAUUGUACAACGGUGUCUUGAAAACAAACAUAUUAUCACCGUUAAGAUUGCAUGUCAACUGAAUAUAACCUUACAUUUUUUAAUACUAAUAACUUAAAAUUAUCUCAUUCAAUAUUCGAAACUAGUCUAGUUAACCUUACUUCGGAAUGGCAAACUAGUUAUAAAUAAAGAUAUAAUGUAAAUUAUAUAAAAAAAAUAAUAAAUUACACAUAAUGAACAAUAUAAAAGUCAUGGAAAUAACUUUAUUCAUGCUUCAAUUCACAUAGAAAACUUAUAAAAUAACCAGUACGGAUUCGAUAAGAACCUGUCUGGCGAAUUGAAGCAAAGCACGAACAACAUCACCAAAAACUGAAACGAAACCUGAACUCGAUCCGCUACUUCCUUUUCCUUCCUUCUUUCUUGUUUUCAUUACUAUUUUUUUGUUUUUCUCCCUCUGUUUUUUUUGUUUUCUCCUUUUUUUCUUGUUGUCAAUGUUUUUCUCUUGUUUCUUAUCCCCGUGUGCUCCCCUUCUUGUGUGUUUAUAUAAUGGUAUGUAUGUGUAUAUAGAAGGUUGAAGUGUGAGGGAAUAAUGGGGAAAGUGGGGGAAGACG